GACGAACGCUGGCGGCGUGCCUAAUACAUGCAAGUCGAACGCAGUGGGGACGGGUGAGUAACACGUGGGUCACCUCCCAUCAGAGGGGAUAACACUUGGCAACAGGUGCUAAACCGAUACUGAUGGAUGGACCCGCGGUGCAUUAGCUAGUUGGUGAGGUAACGGCUCACCAAGGCCACGAUGCAUAGCCGAGCUGAGAGGUGGACCGGCCACACUGGGACUGAGACACGGCCCAGACGCCUACGGGAGGCAGCAGUAGGGAAUAUUCGGCAAGGGACGCAAGUCUGACCGAGCAAUGCCGCGUGAGUGAAGAAGGUGUUCGGAUCGUAAAACUCUGUUGGUAGAGAAGCGGUAUCUAACCAGAAAGCCACGGCUAACUACGUGCCAGCAGCCGCGGUAAUAC
rnacentral:rRNA from 1 species